UACGAAGGGGGCUAGCGUUGCUCGGAAUCACUGGGCGUAAAGGGUGCGUAGGCGGGUCUUAAGUCAGGGGUGAAAUCCUGGGGCUCAACUCCAGAACUGCCUUUGAUACUGAAGAUCUUGAGUUCGGGAGAGGUGAGUGGAACUGCGAGUGUAGAGGUGAAAUUCGUAGAUAUUCGCAAGAACACCAGUGGCGAAGGCGGCUCACUGGCCCGAUACUGACGCUGAGGCACGAAAGUGUGGGGAGCAAACAGG
rnacentral:rRNA from 1 species